GAUGAAGAACGUAGCGAAAUGCGAUAAGUAGUGUGAAUUGCAGAAUUCAGUGAAUCAUCGAAUCUUUGAACGCACAUUGCGCCCCUUGGUAUUCCAUGGGGCAUGCCUGUUCGAGCGUCAUUUGUACCUUCAAGCUUUGCUUGGUGUUGGGUGUUUGUCCUGAGGGACUCGCCUUAAAGUAAUUGGCAGCCAGUGUUUUGGUUUUGAAGCGCAGCACAAGUCGCGAUUCAAGGCUAUAUGCCAGCUUCCACAAGCCUUUUUUCACUUUUGACCUCGGAUCAGGUAGGGAUACCCGCUGAACUUAAGCAUAUCAAUAAGCGGAGGA
rnacentral:misc_RNA from 1 species